GAUGAAGAACGUAGCGAAAUGCGAUACUUGGUGUGAAUUGCAGAAUCCCGCGAAUCAUCGAGUUUUUGAACGCAAGUUGCGCCCGAAGCCAUUCGGCCGAGGGCACGUCUGCCUGGGUGUCACGCAUCGUUGCCCCCCCAAACUCCGGUUCGGGCGGGGCGGAAGUUGGCCUCCCGUGCGUGCCUGCGCGCGCGGUUAGCCCAAAAGCGAGUCCUGGCGACGAGCGCCACGACAAUCGGUGGUUUUUUUACCCUCGUUCCUCGUCGUGCGUGUCCCGUCGCCCGAACGCGCUCUUGUGACCCUCACGCGUCGCCUCGGCGGCGCUCCCAACGCGACCCCAGGUCAGGCGGGACUACCCGCUGAGUUUAAGCAUAUCAAUAAGCGGAGGA
rnacentral:misc_RNA from 1 species